GAUGAAGAACGCAGCAAAAUGCGAUAAGUAAUGUGAAUUGCAGAAUUCAGUGAAUCAUCGAAUCUUUGAACGCACAUUGCGCCCGUCAGUAUUCUGGCGGGCAUGCCUGUUCGAGCGUCAUUACGCCCCUCAAGUCCCCUGUGGACUUGGUGUUGGGGAUCGGCGAGGCUGGUUUUCCAGCACAGCCGUCCCUUAAAUUAAUUGGCGGUCUCGCCGUGGCCCUCCUCUGCGCAGUAGUAAAACACUCGCAACAGGAGCCCGGCGCGGUCCACUGCCGUAAAACCCCCCAACUUUUUAUAGUUGACCUCGAAUCAGGUAGGACUACCCGCUGAACUUAAGCAUAUAAUAAGCGGAGGA
rnacentral:misc_RNA from 1 species